rnacentral:rRNA from 1 species
UACGGAGGAUCCAAGCGUUAUCCGGAUUUAUUGGGUUUAAAGGGUGCGUAGGCGGGGAUACAAGUCAGCGGUGAAAGUUUGCGGCUCAACCGUAAAAUUGCCGUUGAAACUGUAUCCCUUGAGUGUAGACGAGGUGCGUGGAAUUCGUAGUGUAGCGGUGAAAUGCUUAGAUAUUACGAAGAACUCCAAUUGCGUAGGCAGCGCACCAGGCUACAACUGACGCUGAGGCACGAAGGUGCGGGUAUCAAACAGGAUUAGAUACC